rnacentral:rRNA from 1 species
AACGAACGCUGGCGGCGUGGAUAAGACAUGCAAGUCGAACGCUGAUUUCAGGGUAGCAAUAUUCUGAAGUCGGAGUGGCGCAAGGGUGCGUAACACGUGGGCAAUCUACCGUGAAGUUGGGGAUAACUUGCUGAAAGGCAAGCUAACACCGAAUGUGAAAAUUAUGAGGCAUCUCUAGAUUUUCAAAGUUGGGGACCGCAAGGCCUGACGCUUCACGAUGAGCCUGCGGCCUAUCAGCUAGUUGGUGAGGUAACGGCUCACCAAGGCUAAGACGGGUAGCUGGUCCGAGAGGACGACCAGCCUCACUGGAACUGAGACACGGGCCAGACUCCUACGGGAGGCAGC